GACGAACGCUGGCGGCGUGCUUAGCACAUGCAAGUCGAACGGAAAGGCCCUGCUUUUGUGGGGUGCUCGAGUGGCGAACGGGUGAGUAACACGUGAGUAACCUGCCCUUGACUUUGGGAUAACUUCAGGAAACUGGGGCUAAUACCGGAUAGGAGCUCCUGCUGCAUGGUGGGGGUUGGAAAGUUUCGGCGGUUGGGGAUGGACUCGCGGCUUAUCAGCUUGUUGGUGGGGUAGUGGCUUACCAAGGCUUUGACGGGUAGCCGGCCUGAGAGGGUGACCGGCCACAUUGGGACUGAGAUACGGCCCAGACUCCUACGGGAGGCAGCAGUGGGGAAUAUUGCACAAUGGGCGGAAGCCUGAUGCAGCAACGCCGCGUGCGGGAUGACGGCCUUCAGGUUGUAAACCGCUUUCGCCUGUGACGAAGCGUGAGUGACGGUAAUGGGUAAAGAAGCACCGGCUAACUACGUG
rnacentral:rRNA from 1 species